rnacentral:rRNA from 1 species
CCUUGUACACAUUGUUCGUCAAGUCAUGGGAGUUGGUAGUGUUCGAAGUCGCCACAAUACUGUGGUGCCUACGGCAAGAUCGGUGACUGGGACU